GGGUGAGGUCGUGCAGACUGCUGCUGCGUCCCCUUGCCGGGACCUUUGGUUAAGGGGAAGAGGUGGAGAAAAGCCGAUUGGGCCUGGGCUCGAACGCUGAACCCUCAGGUGUUGCUUGUGCUUCCCAAAGCUGCUACUGUAGGUGGCACCACUGGGGGUAAUAGCAAUGAUUUGAGGUGGCAUAUGGAUGAACAUAGUUACUUGUUUUCGUUACUAUUAAGAAAAUCUGUUCCAUUAAGUAAGCAGUUUCACAAUGAUAGAGUUUCCUUUUAAAAUAAAUAUAUUUAAAUGCAAAAAUCUAGUCAAGAUAGAGACGCGGUUACUAAAUUAUAGUAAAGGUAAGGAGGGAGACGUAGAAAUAGUCAUGAAGAGUGGCACUCAAACGACUUAAGUUUGGGAAAUCUUAGAUGGUUGUCCUGCUACCUUAACUGUGAAGAAACUGGACAAGUUGUCCUUGUCCCCAGUGGGUGUCUCAGCACCCAUGGUCACCAGCCCAGUCAGGGACUUUGCUCUUCUUACCUGCCAACGGAUAAUGAGUUAAUCUCAGUGGUUCCCACUUGAGGAGGCUCCCUGCCGUGGUCCUUUUCCUCUCUUCUCUAGGGAUUUCAUGCAUCACCCUGACAGCCAGUGGAAGUUGCCUGAUUUGAAGAGGCCCAGGGCCGAAGAUACCCAGUCAUGUGUGGAAGCAGCUUCAAUGCCAUUUUGUGAGAGGUUGAGGGCCCCAGAGGGGGAAGCACAGGUGCUACCUUUUUACCCACACUUAAGUGACGCAAAAUGCCCUUCAAUGGCGAGAAGCAGUGUGUGGGAGAGGACCAGCCAAGCGAUUCUGAUUCUUCCCGGUUUUCCGAAAGCAUGGCUUCGCUCAGUGACUAUGAAUGCUCCAGGCAGAGCUUUGCAAGUGACUCCUCCAGCAAAUCCAGCUCUCCUGCUU
rnacentral:lncRNA from 10 species